UACGGGGGGAGCAAGCGUUGUUCGGAUUUACUGGGCGUAAAGCGCGCGUAGGCGGCUUUGCAAGCCGGAUGUGAAAUCCCCGGGCUUAACCUGGGAACUGCAUUCGGGACUGCAUUGCUAGAGUAUGGGAGAGGGAAGUGGAAUUUCAGGUGUAGCGGUGAAAUGCGUAGAUAUCUGAAGGAACAUCAGUGGCGAAAGCGACUUCCUGGACCAAUACUGACGCUCAUGUGCGAAAGCGUGGGGAGCAAACAGG
rnacentral:rRNA from 1 species